GGCUCGGCUCGGUUCGGAUCCAAACAGACAGCAGCUCAUCGAUCACCGGUCGGAUCGAUCCGCCCAUCAGCAGCGGGGUCACGUGACUGCGGCGGGGCCGCUUUCAGAUCCCAGAAGAACUGGAAACCAGUGAAGACCAGGAAAACGUCCUCACUUUCCAGGAGGGCCUCAAGCUGUGGGUAAACUUGGAUGAAAGUGGUCCUCCAUAUGCAGUAAUACAAGUACACACACACACACACACCGCCAGUAGCCCACUUCCACUGCCCACUUCCACACACAAACCCACACACUCACACAUUCCUGUCCUCUAUUUAUAACCUGAAGCCCUUCAUUCAUAUCUGACUGUGUGUGUGUGUGUGGGUGUGUGUGUGUGGGUGUGUGUGUGUGUGUGUGUGUGAAACAUGGUAAUGUGACUAAUCGUGGUAGCGGCAUCAUGUGACCUGCAGCUAACGAGUUCCAAUUAGAUUCAUCAUAAUGUGAUGAAGAACGACCUGCUGACCUAUUGGACACCAGAACCAGGUUGGUCCAGAUACUGAAUCUGGAUGACGUCCGUCCGUCCGUCAGCAGGAAGUUCCUGAGGCUCCGCCUCCUUUCUGGACAUAGAGUCAGCAGUG